GACUUUCAUAGAUACAUCUGGUUGAAAAUCUUUGAUUUCAAAAAUCACUUCCACCGACAUGCAAUCAAUAACCUUCAAGCUGUCUAAACUCCCAAACCAUCCUGUCAUGUGACUUGGAAAAACAUUGUUAAGUUGUUUACACCCUUCAAUUUGCACAGAAAUGAGACUAGAGAAGGAAUCGGCACCAACUUCCACUUGCCAUAUGUCUGUCAACUUAUUGAGUUUGGUUAGGUGGAUUUCCUCCAACUUAGGAAAGAUGCAUACCUUGUCCACACUGUCUCCUUCACUGGUUGACAAAACAUACCGGUUUGAGGUCUGCUGCGAAUUCUGUUGUGGUUGAGUGGUGAUGGAGAGAUUCUGGAUGGGAUUAUCACAAGUAGCCACGGAGAGGUUGAACGAAUUUGCAGUCCAAAUGUGACGAGCUCCAUUGUAACACCGUCCAAUGAGUUUGCAAGUAUCUCAAAGUCCAUAGUUCCCGGAUGAAGUAUACAACCCUCAACCUUUUGAGCUACUAAUUGCCAUGGAACAAUUGCACUGUAACGUUCAACAACGGUGGGAUCAAUGCUGAAAUCAAUUUAUCAAUUAUCUCAAUCUCAAUGUCGCCAAAAGCCAACGGUGCUCAAUUAUUCUGUAACAUCUGAACAGGUUUUGGAGCUAAGUGUACAACCUCCGACAUUAUGCACUCUAUCACGAAG